rnacentral:rRNA from 1 species
AUUGAACGCUGGCGGCAUGCCUUACACAUGCAAGUCGAACGGCAGCACGGGUGCUUGCACCUGGUGGCGAGUGGCGAACGGGUGAGUAAUACAUCGGAACAUGUCCUGUAGUGGGGGAUAGCCCGGCGAAAGCCGGAUUAAUACCGCAUACGAUCUACGGAUGACAGCGGGGGACCUUCGGGCCUCGCGCUAUAGGGUUGGCCGAUGGCUGAUUAGCUAGUUGGUGGGGUAAAGGCCUACCAAGGCGACGAUCAGUAGCUGGUCUGAGAGGACGACCGGCCACACUGGGACUGAGACACGGCCCAGACUCCUACGGGAGGCAGCAGUGGGGAAUUUUGGGCAAUGGGCGAAAGCCUGAUCCAGCAAUGCCGCGUGUGUGAAGAAGGCCUUCGGGUUGUAAAGCACUUUUGUCCGGAAAGAAAUCCUUGGUCCUAAUACGGUCGGGGGAUGACGGUACCGGAAGAAUAAGCACCGGCUAACUACGUG